UACGUAGGGUGCGAGCGUUGUCCGGAAUUACUGGGCGUAAAGAGCUCGUAGGUGGUUUGUCGCGUUGUUCGUGAAAAACCUGAGGCUUAACCUUGGGGCGUGCGGGCGAUACGGGGUAGACUGGAGUACUGCAGGGGGAGACUGGAAUUCCUGGUGUAGCGGUGGAAUGCGUAGAGAUCGGGGAAGAACAUCGGUGGCGAAGGCGGCCAGCUGGGCCAUUGCUGACGCUGAUUGCGCGACAGCGUGGGGGAGCAAACAGG
rnacentral:rRNA from 1 species